rnacentral:rRNA from 1 species
AGUGAACGCUGGCGGUAGGCCUAACACAUGCAAGUCGAACGGCAGCACAGUAAGAGCUUGCUCUUACGGGUGGCGAGUGGCGGACGGGUGAGGCAUACAUCGGCAUCUACUUUUUCGUGGGGGAUAACGUAGGGAAACUUACGCUAAUACCGCAUACGACCUACGGGUGAAAGCAGUAGAUCUUCGGACCUUGCGCGAUUGAAUGAGCCGAUGUCGAAUUGGCUAGUUGGCGGGGUAAAGGCCCACCAAGGCGACGAUCCGUAGCUGGUCUGAGAGGAUGAUCAGCCAAACGGGAAAUGAGAAACGGUCCAGACCCUAAGGGGAGGCAGAAGUGGGAAAUAUUGGAAAAGGGGGGAAAGCCUGAGCCAGCCAUACCGGGUGGGUGAAGAAGGCCUUCGGGUGGUAAAGCCCUUUUGUUGGGAAAGAAAAGUAGCAGGUUAAUACCGCGCUGUUCUGACGGUACCCAAAGAAUAAGCACGGGCUAACUUCGU